GCGCCCGUAGCUCAGUUGGAUAGAGCUAUAGAUUCCGGUUCUAUGUGUCGGGGGUUCGAAUCCUCUCGGGCGCG
rnacentral:tRNA from 1 species